rnacentral:rRNA from 1 species
UACGGGGGGGGCAAGCGUUGUUCGGAAUUACUGGGCGUAAAGGGCAAGUAGGCGGCCAACUAAGUCGGAUGUGAAAUCCCCAGGCUCAACUUGGGAACUGCAUCCGAUACUGGAUGGCUUGAAUUCGGGAGAGGGAUGCAGAAUUCCAGGUGUAGCGGUGAAAUGCGUAGAUAUCUGGAGGAAUACCGGUGGCGAAGGCGGCAUCCUGGACCGACAUUGACGCUGAACGGCGAAAGCUAGGGGAGCAAACGGG